rnacentral:rRNA from 1 species
UACGUAGGUGGCAAGCGUUGUCCGGAUUUAUUGGGUUUAAAGGGUGCGUAGGCGGCCUUAUAAGUCAGUGCUGAAAUAUCCCGGCUUAACCGGGAGGGUGGCAUUGAUACUGUAGGGCUUGAGUGUAGUCGAGGUAGGCGGAAUUGACGGUGUAGCGGUGAAAUGCUUAGAUAUCGUCAAGAACACCGAUAGUGUAGACAGCUUACUAGGCUACAACUGACGCUGAGGCACGAAAGUGUGGGGAUCAAACGGG